rnacentral:rRNA from 1 species
UACGAAGGGUGCAAGCGUUACUCGGAAUUACUGGGCGUAAAGAGCGCGUAGGCGGCACGGUACGACCGGUGUGAAAGCCCCCGGCUCAACUGGGGAGGGUCACCGGUAACGGCCGAGCUACGAGUGCAGGAGAGGGAAGUGGAACUCCGGGAGUAGCGGUGAAAUGCGUAGAGAUCGGGAGGAACACCGGUGGUGUAGACGGCUUUCUGGACCAGUACUGACGCUGAGAGACGAAAGCGUGGGGAGCAAACAGG